rnacentral:rRNA from 1 species
UAAAGUUGUUGCAGUUAAAAAGCUCGUAGUUGGAGUUCAGAGUGAGCUCAGCCGGUCGGCCUAAUGGGUCAGAACUGGUUGACUCUCUCUUGUUUGUGGAUCCCUCCGGAGUUAACUCUUCGGAUGUGGAGUCCACAUCGUUUACCUUGAAAAAAUUAGAGUGUUCAAAGCAGGCGUUUGCUUGAAUAUAUUAGCAUGGAAUAAUGGAAUAGGACGCUGGUUCUAUUUUGUUGGUUUUGAGAACCAGAGUAAUGAUUAAUAGGGACAGUUGGGGGCAUUCAUAUUUCAUUGUCAGAGGUGAAAUUCUUGGAUUUAUGAAAGAUGAACUUCUGCGAAAGCAUUUGCCAAGGAUGUUUUCAUUAAUCAAGAACGAAAGUUAGGGGAUCGAAGACGAUCAGAUACCGUCGUAGUCUUAACCAUAAACUAUGCCGACUAGGGAUUGGGCGUGG